rnacentral:lncRNA from 1 species
CAGAAGGCCUGUUGCACCAGACCUCAAGGCAAAAGCUUUCAGUUCAUUUAGUUUUUCUCCUCUUCUUUUGGCGAAUGAGCUGGGAAUACCAGUUUAAAGUCUGCGCAGGCUUUAGGAAGUUGAAAGAUACUCAAAUCCUUGAUCUACAAGGCUUACAGGAAGUGUUUGUUUCCUUCGGAACCCCAACAUGGAUGGAUAUUAGGAAAAAUUUCUCCUCAGAAUGAGUGGCAAUGAGUUGGCUCAGGCUGCCCAGGGAGGUGCUGCAGUCACUGCCCCUGGAGGUGCUCAUGGAAUGUGGAGACGUGG